CCGGCAGAGGGCUGAGGCAGACGGGGCUGUUGCAGGUCAGGAGAGGGGACGGGACACGUGCUUGCAGUCUUCCUCCCCUCCCUUCCCGUCCCCUCUCCCCAGCAGUCACCUGGAGCCUGGAGGAGACGCCGAGGGAGCUUCUGGUCCGGUAGGAGACACAGGACUCUCUGCAGUGGACCUCACUCACCUGAACAGCUGCUGGGGCUUCCAACAAACUAAAGUUGGGAUCAUGUCAUGUAACCCAGGAAAAAAGCCCCCAGCCAGUACUUAGUGCUGUGAACUCCAGGUGAGAGAGAGAGGGAGGUUUGGAGAAGGAAAUCAAAUACAGCAAGAGAGGAGAAUGCGAAAGGUCUGCUACAUGGCACGCCAAGUCACAGUCCAACCCCUCAUCGUGGGUUCCAACUGGAGAUUUCUGCAAGCAAGAGGUGGCAAGAUAUUAUUGCAGUGCUUUUGAUUUAGCAAACUGGAUCGAGCUGAUGAACAAAGACUAACAGACUCAGUGAGCUCACUUCAAGCUUUUGGAACUCUGAGUUACUUUUCACUGUGUGUUUAUAACCUCAUUGUUCAGAUUUAAUUUGUUUCUUCUGUUUAUAUGUAAAACUGAAGACAAGGUAUGUGGAUUAUGAAGUAGUCUUGAUAUUUAGUAGAAAUUAAGCUAUAUUAUCAUUAUAAUAUUGUAUUAAGCUGAUAAUUAAGAAUUAAGUUAAUUCUUUUUGGACUUUAUUGUAGGGAGGUUGACCCUGUGCAAUCCUUUGUGGAAAUCCCCGAAUGACUGGUUUUCCGUGUGCUUUUCUCUAGGAAUUAUAUAGAAGUACUAGGAGAGGGCUGAUAAAGUGAAUUCUAGCCCACCUGAAGUUUAUAUAUGCAAGAGGACUUUAAUAACACUGGUCUACAAUUUUUGAGAAGUCGUCUGCUUCAGAGAUAAAAUGUGAUAUUUAUUAUGUAUUUUGA